GCCGGGCACUGUGGCGCGUGCCUGUAAUCCUGCUGUCUGGGAGGCUAAAACUGAGGGAUUGCUUGAGUCUGGGAGUUUUAGUCUGUCCUGAGCCAUGUCGAUCAGGUGUCCGCACUAAGUUCAGUACCAAUAUGGUGGUCCUGGGGGAACUUGGGAUCACCAGGUUGCCUAAAGAGGGGUGAACCGAUCCAGGUCGGAAACAGAGCAGGUCAAAACCCCCGUACUGAUCAGUGGGAUAGCGCCUUUGAAUAGUCAGUGCAGAAAAGCCCGGGUGAUAAAGUAAGACGCAGUCUUUU
rnacentral:SRP_RNA from 1 species